AAGGGAGACCUAAUUCCGGUAGGAGACGAAAAAAAAGUAGUCCCAACCAAGAAUCAAUCCCAGAAGGUCGGAACGAGGUAUGAGGCUUUCAAACUAGGUUCUGGGUUCAUAAAAGACCUGAAUCAGGAACAAGGGCUAUUAGCUCAGGUGGUUAGAGCGCACCCCUGAUAAGGGUGAGGUCCCUGGUUCGAGUCCAGGAUGGCCCACCUGCACAGGUGGCAAAAACAAGAGAAGCUCCGAAUCAGCACCUUAUCUUAUAUACAUAUAUAAGAGAGAAUGCUGGCUCUGAGUACAGAGUCCAGAGGAACCUUGAAAACUGCAUAGAGCUAGGUGAAAAAGCCAAAAAAGAAGACCGCAA
rnacentral:tRNA from 1 species